rnacentral:tRNA from 1 species
GCCUUCGUGGUAUAGUGGUCAACACACUCGGCGCAUAUUCUAGAGGGUCGAGGUUCGAGUCCCGACGAGGGCA